rnacentral:lncRNA from 1 species
UGACAUGAUAUGUCCAUUAUCAUCUUUGCUCCUUUGAUCUCCAUCUUCAGGGCACCGCAUGUUCAUCAUUGCCACCGGCGUGACACCAUGAUCUCCAUCAUUGCGUCUCCGUGAAGUUGUCACGCCAACUAUUACUUCUACUACUAUAGCUAACCGUUAGAAAUGAAGUAAAGUAAUAAACACAUGGCGUUGCAUCUCAUACAAUAAAUUAAGACAACUCCUAUGGCUCCUGACGGUUGUCGUACUCAUCGACAUGCAAGUCGUGAAUCCCAUUACAAGAACAUGAUAAAUCUCAUACAUCACACAUGUAACAUCGCAUCCUUUGGCCAUACCACAUCAGGUAGCAAACCCUGCAAAAACAAGUUAGACGUCCUCUAAUUGUUGUUGUAAUUUUUAC